rnacentral:rRNA from 1 species
CAGCCGCCGCGGGAAAACGUAGGGUGCGAGCGUUGAUCGGAAUUACUGGGCGUAAAGCGUGCGCAGGCGGUUCGUUAAGACAGAUGUGAAAUCCCCGGGCUUAACCUGGGAACUGCAUUUGUGACUGGCGAGCUAGGGUAUGGCAGAGGGGGGUAGAAUUCCACGUGUAGCAGUGAAAUGCGUAGAGAUGUGGAGGAAUACCGAUGGCGAAGGCAGCCCCCUGGGCCAAUACUGACGCUCAUGCACGAAAGCGUGGGGAGCAAACAGGAUUAGAUACCCCCGUAGUCCCUGUCUCUUAUAC